CAACUUUCCAAUAACCUUGAAUUGUCCUAUAAUCCUGCCUUAAUUGCUUGUUUUAGUGCAUUGGUGUGGUCAUAUAUUCCCUCUGUUGUAUCACUAAUAUUCCUCCUGUUUUACAGCCUUAGAUAGAAACAGAAUACGCCUAGAGGCCCAAUCAUAAGUUGUAUUUCCUUAUCAAAGAGUUACAGUGCAGCAAAGUAUCCUGAGACUCCUACAUGGUCCAGAGCCAGAUAAAGUAGGAUCUCACACAAAUCGGGCUGGCAAUUGCCUUGCAGCAGAGCCAUCAAGUCAACAAGACAAGACAAGACAAGAUAUUUCUAGGUUAGGUUAUAUUUGUUGUCAUUUAUGAUAAUUUCUCAUUGACUCAUUUCAUUUUUAUUUGUUUAUGAGGAGGAUUGGAUUGGUUUAUUUCUUAUUUUCUUGUUCUUUAAUAAAAGUUUUUUUCAUAAAAGUUUCAUAUAACUGAGACAGGUUAUAAUGCCGGGUUGUGCUAUUUUAACUUGCAAAAAUACAAACAUAACAACUAAAGGUACUGAUAUAAGGUAUCAUAGUUUUCCAAUGAAGAAAAUUUACAACAGCAGUGGAUAUAUGCUUGUCAAAGAAAAGAUAAAAUUAAUUUAAAAAACGCACGAAUAUGCUCCAAACAUUUUGAGGCAAGCAGCUUUGAGAUUCCUCUUAAACACAGGCUAUUGCAAUACAACCCAAAGAAUAGUCGCAAUUUAAAGACUGAUGCAGUUCCUGUUUUACAUCUACCAGAGUCUUCCUGCAAAAAAAUAGUAAAUACUGGAAAUGCACUAGAAAUAGAAGAUAAAGAAAUUUUGGCAUGCAAAAACUUCAGUGAAGCUGACUAAAUUGGAGCCAAUGAAGAAAUUCCAAAACAGGAUUGAAACAUUAGAGGUAGAAUACCAUUAAGAAAUUGACAGAAGCUGCUUCACCGAAUAAAUGGAAUAAAAGAAGCAGAAUCUAAAAAAAAUAAAGAAACUUCUAAGAAGCAAGGAAAAAAUUCAAUUUUUGGAAAAAGAAAAUAAGCGGUUUCUUGAAAAAUCAGCGAAUUAAAAGUUAGGACAUCUAACUAGUAUAAAAAUAUAAUUGACAGUGCUUUAUAUA